AAUGAACGUUGGCGGCGUGGAUUAGGCAUGCAAGUCGCGCGAUAAGUCCCCGCAAGGGGACGGAAAGCGGCGAAAGGGACAGUAAUGCGUAGAUACCUACCCUCGGGCUCGGGAUAGCUGCGGGAAACUGCAAUUAAUACCGAAUAACGUCUCCGGACCAGAGGUGUGAUUCCGCCUGGGGAUGGGUCUGCGUCCUAUUAGCUAGUUGGCGUGGUAACGGCACACCAAGGCAAAGAUGGGUAGCAGGUGUGAGAGCACGACCUGCGUCACUGGGACUGAGACACUGCCCAGACACCUACGGGUGGCUGCAGUCGAGGAUCUUCGGCAAUGGGCGCAAGCCUGACCGAGCGACGCCGCGUGCGGGAUGAAGGCCUUCGGGUUGUAAACCGCUGUCAGAGAGGCGGAAAUAUAGGGGGGUUCUCCCUUCUAUUUGACCUAUUCUCAGAGGAAGUGCGGGCUAAGUCCGUGCCAGCCGCCGCGGUAA
rnacentral:rRNA from 1 species